rnacentral:rRNA from 1 species
AGAGUUUGAUCAUGGCUCAGAGCGAACGCUGGCGGCAGGCUUAACACAUGCAAGUCGAGCGGGCGUAGCAAUACGUCAGCGGCAGACGGGUGAGUAACGCGUGGGAACGUACCUUUUGGUUCGGAACAACCCAGGGAAACUUGGGCUAAUACCGGAUAAGCCCUUACGGGGAAAGAUUUAUCGCCGAAAGAUCGGCCCGCGUCUGAUUAGCUAGUUGGUGAGGUAAUGGCUCACCAAGGCGACGAUCAGUAGCUGGUCUGGGAGGAUGAUCAGCCACAUUGGGACUGAGACACGGCCCAAACUCCUACGGGAGGCAGCAGUGGGGAAUAUUGGACAAUGGGCGCAAGCCUGAUCCAGCCAUGCCGCGUGAGUGAUGAAGGCCCUAGGGUUGUAAAGCUCUUUUGUGCGGGAAGAUAAUGACGGUACCGCAAGAAUAAGCCCCGGCUAACUUCGUGCCAGCAGCCGCGGUAAUACGAAGGGGGCUAGCGUUGCUCGGAAUCACUGGGCGUAAAGGGUGCGUAGGCGGGUCUUUAAGUCAGGGGUGAAAUCCUGGAGCUCAACUCCAGAACUGCCUUUGAUACUGAAGAUCUUGAGUUCGGGAGAGGUGAGUGGAACUGCGAGUGUAGAGGUGAAAUUCGUAGAUAUUCGCAAGAACACCAGUGGCGAAGGCGGCUCACUGGCCCGAUACUGACGCUGAGGCACGAAAGCGUGGGGAGCAAACAGGAUUAGAUACCCUAGUAGUCC